AUGCAUGUCGGUACGAUCAUGGAGUCGAAUGAUGCGACUUUCUUUGAAGAUAUCUUUCCAAUGAAAGAUAUGGCUACCUCAUCUAAUCAGGAGAUGCCUAGUUCAUCGAAUCAGGAACCAGUUAUAAUUAUCGAACCUGCCAUUUUGAUGGAACACUUUGAAAAUCCUGUGGAGGAGAACAAUAAAGUUCCUACUAGGAGCAAGAGACAGAGGACUGCAAAGUCCUUUGGUGAUGAUUUUCUUGUGUAUCUCAUAGAUGAUACUCCCAGUUCUAUUUCAGAGGCCUAUGCAUCUGAAGAUGCCGACUACUGGAAGGAAGCAGUUCGUAGUGAGAUGGAUUCCAUCUUGGCGAAUGAAACUAGGGAGAUAACUGAUCGUCCUUAUGGGUGCAAACCUAUAGGAUGCAAAUGA
rnacentral:rRNA from 1 species